UUAAGUUCAGCGGGUAUCCCUACCUGAUCCGAGGUCAACCUGAAAAAAAUUGGGGGUUGUUGGCAAGUAGACCUACCGGACUCAAUCGCGAGGAGUAUUACUACGCGUAGAGCCGAUAGGCACCGCCACUGAUUUUAGGGGCCGUGAAACCGCGAACCCCAAUACCAAGCGUGAGCUUGAGUGGUUAUAAUGACGCUCGA
rnacentral:misc_RNA from 1 species